rnacentral:rRNA from 1 species
UACGUAGGGGGCAAGCGUUGUCCGGAUUUAUUGGGCGUAAAGAGCGUGUAGGCGGCCAGGUAGGUCUGCUGUGAAAACCCGAGGCUCAACCUCGGGCCUGCAGUGGGUACGGGCAGACUAGAGUGCGGUAGGGGAGACUGGAAUUCCUGGUGUAGCGGUGAAAUGCGCAGAUAUCAGGAGGAACACCGGUGGCGAAGGCGGGUCUCUGGGCCGUAACUGACGCUGAGGAGCGAAAGCGUGGGGAGCGAACAGG